GCUUGGUUUGGCAUGUAACGCCAUGGAUGGUCCUUUGGAGCUGGUUGUGGGUUCCACACAUCACCACUGUAACCUCCAAUGUGUCCACUGUUACAAGCGUCAACAACUGCUUGAGUAUCCAUGAUUGCUCCACGAGCAUUGUUAACGAUCAGUACUCCUUUCUUGCACUUGGCAAUUCUCUCUUUGUUAAAUAGUCCCCUUGUCUUGUCAGUUAGAGGAGUGUUGAUGACAAGUACAUCACAUUUUGGUAACAUUGCCUCCAGAUCUUCCUCAAAUUGUGCUCCGAUCUGCUUCUCAAGUUCAGGAUCAAUCUUGAGUCGGUCGUGGUAAAGGAGAUUGCAAUUGAAAGGUUUCAGCCUCUGAAGUAAAAGUUUGCCAAUUCGUCCAGCUCCUACCGUUCCAACUGUUUUGCCCUCAAGAUCAUAAGCUCUGUGAGCUAUUCCAGCGACAUUCCAUUCACCAUUAAUAACCUGGUGGUAUCCUGGUAGGAAAUUCCUGACGAGAAUGAGAAUUCUCAUUAGCUCAUCCUCUGCAACUGAAACCACAUUGCUUCCAGUAACCUCUGCAACUGUCAGUCCAGCAGCAGCAGCAGCAUUGAGGUCAACAUGAUCGGAU
rnacentral:misc_RNA from 1 species